rnacentral:rRNA from 1 species
AUUGAACGCUGGCGGCAGGCCUAACACAUGCACGUCGAACGAGUGGCGGACGGGUGAGUAAUGUAUGGGAAACUGCAUGAUGGAGGGGGAUAACUACUGGAAACGGUAGCUAAUACCGCAUACCAUCGGAUGUGCCCAGAUGGGAUUAGCUAGGAGGUGGGGUAAAGGCGCACCUAGGCGACAAACCCUAGCUGGUCUGAGAGGAUGACCAGCCACAUUGGAACUGAGACACGGUCCAGACUCCUACGUGAGGCAGCAGUGGGGAAUAUUGCACAAUGGGCGCAAGCCUGAUGCAGCCAUGCCGCGUGUAUGAAGAAGGCCUUCGGGUUGUAAAGUACUUUCAGCGGGGAGGCGUUACCCGCAGAAGAAGCACCGGCUAACGCCGUGCCAGCCGCCGCGGUAAUAC